CACGUAGGGUGCGAGCGUUGUCCGGAAUUAUUGGGCGUAAGAGCUCGUAGGCGGUGUGUCGCGUCGGCCGUGAAAACCUGCAGCUUAACUGUGGGCGUGCGGUCGAUACGGGCAUCACUGGAGUUCGGCAGGGGGAGACUGGAAUUCCUGGGUGUAGCGGUGAAAUGCGCAGAUAUCAGGAGGAACGACCGGUGGCGAAGGCGGGUCUCUGGGCCGAUACUGACGCUGGAGGAGCGAAAAGCGUCGGGGAGCGAACAGGGAUUAG
rnacentral:rRNA from 1 species